rnacentral:lncRNA from 1 species
ACACAGCGCAUGGGCAGGAAGAGGAAGGCGAGGCCCACUGCCUUCCCACGCUCCUACCUGGGUUCACGCACGAGGCCGUCGAUCCUGUGAACUGUCCUGGGCAACGAGGCCACUCAGAAAACGCCAUUUGCUAAACGAACUCGCCACUUGUAUUGUUAGCCCUCUUAGAUGUGUGAUUUUUAAAGAACUAAAUACAGAAAUUGGCUUUUUUCCCCCUCCCAAUGAGUAUUUUCAUAUCACUUACUGUGCCUUUUCCCCGUGGGAGAAGGGAGGGCUUCCGCACCGGACCUCUCCCGCCUGCCCCUCCGCGCACUGAUUGCAUUUCCGGGUUUCCCCUGUAGUUACUCGUGGUCAUGUGACCGGCUCCCGGCCAAUGGGGUGUGAGCGGAAGUAAAUCGGGCACAUCCGGUCUGGCGGACAUGAAGGCUGUGGCUUUCUUUUCUCUUCCGGGAAGAGAAGCCUGGAAGCUGGCUUGAUGGAAUUACUGUGUUUUGUGUGUAGCAUCCGAAUCCAGAAUGGCCAGUGCACCCCUGUCUGGAUUGGUCCUGGGCUCUGGUAUGGACCACUUUCUUUGGGGAAGAUUCUACUACACUGCCUCCUGCUGAUCUGGGGCAUAGCUGGUGGCAUCAAGAGUCCACCCAGCUCCUCCCAGGUUCCAGAGAAUGGAAGAAAAUCCCAAGUACGUCUGCUCUGUCUCCAAAUUGUUAGUUCCGUGGGGGGAUAACACAGUCUAUUAUCUCUCAGCUUGUGGGUUUUUAGGGACUCCCCACAAAACAGUUUUUUUGCUUCCUGCUGCCUUAUGGAAAGGAGUUGGGGAUUGCCAACUCUUUGCCAGGAUGACAGGUCCCAUUUUUCUGGAACAUAUGUUUAUGCAGCAAUUGACAAGGAUUAGGAGAAAGGAGUGAAAAUCAGCUGCCAUGACUUAUCUUGUUAGAGUUUCUUAUGCCUUAUAACGUACUUUAGUCUUGGUCAGAAUAAAAUAAAGCAUCUGGGCACCAAGCGGCAUUCAUAUCUUUAUAAUUAAUCUUUUGUGGCUCUGAGGUACUGAGUGAUUUUAUGUAGAUUAAGAAUUCACAAAGUAAUCUCUAUGAAGGUAUGUAUUCAGAAUCUCCAUUUCUCUGUCCGAUCUCCUCCUUCUAUUUAUUACUCUAUAUUUUAAUCUACUUUACAUAAAUGUUACUGUGCCAAAUACAAUGACUUUUCUAGUGAACAUUCUGGAAGCAGUUCUGAAAUGGUGAUAGUGACCUGGGUUCUGGGUGAGAGUAUCAUUCCUGAAAUGAUGCCAGGGGAAGAGGGUCCUGAGCCAAAUCAGCAUAGGAAAUAGCACAACCAGUGUGGAGAAUUGGACCAAGGUCAUGGCUAGGAAGGCAACAAGCCAGGGACAAGAACAGAACAGAAGAAGAGAAGGAGCUAUAAUAUCCGCCCCCAAAAAUAAAAGUCCUAAUAGAUUUGUCAAAAAAGCAUGACAUCCAGUGCAUUUUGUAUUUACAUUUGUUUCUGUAUUAUAAUUUUCAUAGAGAUAGAAAAUAAAAACAAAUGAGCUCUUUGUAAUCUUUACUCAGAUGGUAUCCUUUCUCCUAGUGGCAAUUUUCUCAAAAUGAAACUCAGUUCAGAGCUUCCAAAUAAAGGAAUAAACAAGUGCAUAAGAAUUUAGAGACUCAAGGCAAAUGUGAUUUUAGGCCUUCAGUGUUGCUGGACAAAGCUAAACUUCAUCUUUUGUUGUUAUCAGCUUGAUCUUAGCUGUUGCUUUUAUUUAUUUGUCUUUAAAGAUUUUACUUAUUUAUUUUACUGAGAGAGAGAGAACAGACCAACACAAGCAGGGGGAGUCACAGAGGGAGAGGGAGGCUCCAUCCCAGGACCCUGAGAUCAUGGCCUGAGCCUAAGGCAGAUGCUUAAUCAGCUGAGCUACCCAGGUACCCUGAUUGGCUGUUGUUUUUACAGAGCCCAUCCAGGCCCGGUAGAGGAUGCCCUCACCCCAAAUCUGUGGUUUUGCUUUCUGUGGUUUCAGUUACCCAUGGUCAACUGCCAUCCUAAAACAGAUGAUCCUCCUUUGACAUAGCUUCAGGAAGUCAACAGAAGCCUAACCCUGUGUCACAGCACCUGUGUCACUGACCUUACUUGACUUUAUCACACAGCCACUUUGUAUUUCCCAUCAUCACAAGAAGAGGAGUGAGUUCAAUAUGAUCUUUUGAGAGGGACCACAUUCACAUAACUAUUAUUACAUUAUAUUGUUGUAAUUGUUCUAUUUUAUUAUUAGUUAUUGCUGUUCAUAUCUUUCUAAACCUAAUUUAUAAAUUAAACUUUAUCACAUGUAUUUACACACACACAUACAUACACAGAGUACAUAUGGGGCUUGGUGCUAUCCACAGUUUCAGGCAUCCACUGGGGGUCUUGGAAUACAUCUCCCCUAGAUGAAGGCGGCCCUACUGUAUGUGAUUUCUGAGGCUCAACUAAGGACUUCAGAAAGCAUGAAUGCUUGUUAUUUAGCCCAUGAUAUCUAAUCAUGAAGGAAGGAAGCUCAAAAACUUGACUGGUGGUUAUCUGCAAUUGCUAACCAAGCUGCAAGAGCCACAUAGACCCAGCAAUGUUAUAGAGAAAUUUGCCAAAUCAGCUGAGAGAUAAAUGAUAUUUUAUUAAUUAAUCUCACCUUAAAUUACUUGGCUCUUGGAUCAGCAUACUUUCAUGCUUUGCUUUUUCAAUAUUUACCUAAGAGGUCCUAAACAUUCUUUUUUGGUUAUGAAGAUGGGGUGAUAGGAUUUUUUAAAAAAUAUUUUAUUUAUUUAUUCAUGAUAGACAGAGAGAGAGAGAGAGGCAGAGGGAGAAGCAGGCUCCAUGGAGGGAGCCCAAUGCGGAACUCAAUCCCGGGACUCCAGGAUCACACCCUGGGCCAAAGGCAGGUGCUAAACCACUGAGUCACCCAGGGAUUCCCGGGUGAUGGGAUUAUUGGCAAAAUAACACAGUGGAAAUAAACAUGCUCAUUCACGUUACUCAAAACAUGUAAGCUGUUUGAGGAACAUUAACCUGAAAUUUCUCACUAGCAUCUUGCUUGUUUUUGCCCUCUUACGUAGAGAUCUGGCACUACUAUUAUGAAUGAUGGCCACCUCUUCCUUGUCAUCAACCUCCGGGAUUAAUUUACUUCCCUAAUCUACAGUGAGAUUCAGAUGCAGAAUGGAGUGAGGUUUGAGGAGCAAAGAGAAACAAGGAUUGACUUUCCACCCCGCACCACAUGGUGCUUACAGCAUACUUUGGGAUUGGGCAAAGUGGCUCAAAGGAAGAGUACUAGGAAGGAACAGUGGCUUGUUCUAUGGAGGAAGAGGAGAAAUGCAAGGGAAAAAUGUCGUACUGUAGUGACAUCUGUUGAUUCCACAGUGAAUCCAAAGGCAUUCAGGUGCUGACUGAAUGCUUAUUACCAUGCUCAGGGGGCAGCAUGGUAACGUUUCCCGAGGGAGUUUAAACGGCUUGUGGAUUAUUGAGUCCUCCAGAUAAAUCUGCCCAUUAGACAACACCCAUAUGGCUCUGAGGUGGACGGUCAGUGAGUCAUCCUUCAAUAUACUUUUUUAGGUAUUUGGGGUUUGGUGUAGAAAGAAAAACAGUUCAGUCAUCUUCAUGUAUGUGACUGAUGCACUUUACUAUUUUUUUUUAAAGAUUUUAUUUAUUCAUGAGAGACAGAGAGAGGGAGAGACAUAGACAGAGGGAGAAGCAGGCUCCCGGUGAGGAGCCUGAUUUGGGACUUGAUCCCAGAACCCCAGGAUCAUGACCUGAGCCAAAGGCAGACACUCAACCACUGAGCCACCCAGGUGCCUCAAUACACUUUACUGCUUAAUAAGUGAUUAUCUUUCAGUACCAUUUUUUCCAAUUAUAUUUAAAAAAUUAUCAGGGGAAUCAGCUGUAAAUGUUUAUGGAAAAUAAGUACUUCUAAAUAAGUCAACUAAUUUGAAAAUGCAGGUGAGAAAGAUUGUGUUUUUGUGGGGAAUGGAGGAGCUAGAAUGGGGUAGAGGUUGCAGUUAGUACCAGGUGGGUUCAGUGAGCACCGGGCUACAUCAACACACAGAGGGGGUUCAGGGGCAGGCAUGGCAGCCAAUCGGGUCAGUAACUGCUUUGGAGCUCUGAUUUAUUCCAAGGCAAAGCAGAAAUCCCAAUUCAAGGGCAAAGCUGAAGAAUGAGUUUCAACCUGUAGUUUGCCUCUUGCUCCAGCUGACUUUUUUAUUGGCUCAGCCACAACUGUGGAUGCUCUCAUCAUAGGUAAAGUAAAUACUUUUUGAAUGUCUAUGUAUGAAGAGUUUUCACCUGGAUUAUGGAAUUGAUUCCUCAAACAGUCUGUAAAGUGGAAAUCCUUGCCCAGUCAUGUCCAAGAAUCUCAAUUGUGACUAAACUCAGGUAUCCUGCAUCUAGGUUUAGUCUUUGGGGUUUAGCUGUGCUGUCCAUAUCCCUGGGA